UAAGAGGGGGGGGGUGAAUUAGUGCAGCGGUGAAGUGCAAUAAACUUUUCACGAUUUAAACACUUUUCGGAAACUUCGUACGAUAAAAGCAACGUUUUCGUUUAAAAACGUUUCGAUUGCUUUUUAACUUGAAGAGAUAAGUAAGACGGAGACAAAGCAGUAUAGCAUUAAAGUGCAAAUGGUUUGCAGUAAUAUAAAU
rnacentral:lncRNA from 1 species